UACGUAGGGUGCAAGCGUUAAUCGGAAUUACUGGGCGUAAAGCGUGCGUAGGCGGCUAUGUAAGACAGAUGUGAAAUCCCUGGGCUUAACCUGGGGAACUGCAUUUGUGACUGCAUUGCUAGAGUGUGGUAGAGGGAGAUGGAAUUCCGCAUGUAGCAGUGAAAUGCGUAGAUAUGCGGAGGAACACCAAUGGCGAAAGGCAAUCUCCUGGACCUGCACUGACGCUCAUGCACGAAAAGCGUGGGGGAGCAAAACAGGG
rnacentral:rRNA from 1 species